rnacentral:rRNA from 1 species
GUGUUUACGGAGUGUAGGGUUCUAGCGAGCCCAACCUCCCACCCGUGUUUACUGUACCUUAGUUGCUUCGGCGGGCUCGCCAUUCAUGGCCGCCGGGGGCUCUCAGCCCCGGGCCCGCGCCCGCCGGAGACACCACGAACUCUGUCUGAUCUAGUGAAGUCUGAGUUGAUUGUAUCGCAAUCAGUUAAAACUUUCAACAAUGGAUCUCUUGGUUCCGGCAUCGAUGAAGAACGCAGCGAAAUGCGAUAACUAGUGUGAAUUGCAGAAUUCCGUGAAUCAUCGAGUCUUUGAACGCACAUUGCGCCCCCUGGUAUUCCGGGGGGCAUGCCUGUCCGAGCGUCAUUGCUGCCCAUCAAGCACGGCUUGUGUGUUGGGUCGUCGUCCCCUCUCCGGGGGGGACGGGCCCCAAAGGCAGCGGCGGCACCGCGUCCGAUCCUCGAGCGUAUGGGGCUUUGUCACCCGCUCUGUAGGCCCGGCCGGCGCUUGCCGAACGCAAAUCAAUCUUUUUCCAGGUUGACCUCGGAUCAGGUAGGGAUACCCGCUGAACUUAAG